rnacentral:rRNA from 1 species
ACGCUGGCGGCGUGCCUAAGACAUGCAAGUCGAACGGGACCUUCGGGUCUAGUGGCGAACGGCGGAGUAAUACAUAAGUAACUUGCCUCGAAGAUCGGGAUAGCCGCGGGAAACUGCGAGUAAUACCGGAUGUGACAGUGGGGGGCAUCCCCUGCUCAUUAAAUGGUUUUUCGCUUCGAGAGCGGCUUAUGACACAUCAGCUAGUUGGUGGGGUAAAGGCCUACCAAGGCGACGACGUGUAGGGGGUCUGAGAGGAUGAUCCCCCCGAGUGGGACUGAGGCACGGCCCACACACCUACGGGUGGCAGCAGUUGGGAAUCUUGCACAAUGGGGGAAACCCUGAUGCAGCGACGCCGCGUGGAGGAAGAAGGGUCUAGGCUCGUAAACUCCUUUUUCAGGGAAAGACUUAGGACGGUACCCUGAGAAUAAGCUCCGGCUAACUACGUG